rnacentral:lncRNA from 1 species
ACCAUAAGGGGGACAUAAGCUAAAACACAAAUCAUCUAUGGAUAACCCUGCUGUCCCACACGCAACCCCGGGAGAGGCGUGCGAAGCACUCUAUGUGCCCAGCCUACAACACUGAUUCUAGACCUCCAGACUCCCCUAUCAAGGGUCAUGUCCUCGGAAACCUGCAUUCUAGUCAUGUCCUGCCUAAUCACCUCUUCCCAAUGCUUCUUAGGCCUGCCUCUGCCUCGCCGACCGCCAACAAUCUCCAGCCGCUCGCAGCUCAGACACCAUAAAUAACUACGAUAAGGGUGACACAAUCCAAUACACAAAUCAUCUAUGGAUAUCUCGCCAAGCCUCACCCAACCCCGGGUGAGUAGUACGAAAAACUCUAGGGGCCCCUAUCCUACAA